rnacentral:rRNA from 1 species
UUUCGAAAGAACAAGUAUCCUUCCGUAGCACUUGCUGAAGCCUUAGCAGCCUGAAAGGGUGAGCACCGGCGACUAUAAACAACUAAUGGUGGUCUUAAAUGCUAGUCUUCUUUGAAGGCAACACUGCCAAAUUGCGGGAACACCCUAAAGAUCUUGAUACCAAGCUGGAGUCGAAAGACUGCAGUGGCCGAGCUAACAGCCCUGGGUACGGUAACAAUUCAAGAUAUGAAACAAUGGGCAAUCCGCAGCCAAGUCCUAAGUCCGUCAUGGAUAUGGAUGCUGUUCACAGGCCAAAUGGUAGUGGGUAGACGCAUCGUCUGCUUAAGAUAUGGUCGGUCUGUUUGCGAAAGCAAGCAGGUAAGCUACUGUAGUAUAUUACAAUCUAUCUUCAUACAAGUGUGUAUUGUAAUAUACCGAAACGUAACCAAAUAAACGUUCCGUAGGUGAACCUGCGGAAGGAUCAUUA